rnacentral:rRNA from 1 species
CCUACGGGCGGCAGCAGUGGGGAAUAUUGGACAAUGGGGGGAACCCUGAUCCAGCCAUGCCGCGUGUGUGAAGAAGGCCCUCGGGUUGUAAAGCACUUUCAGUGAGGAAGAACGCCUGGUGGUUAAUACCCAUCAGGAAAGACAUCACUCACAGAAGAAGCACCGGCUAACUCCGUGCCAGCAGCCGCGGUAAUACGGAGGGUGCGAGCGUUAAUCGGAAUUACUGGGCGUAAAGCGCGCGUAGGUGGCUUGAUAAGCCGGUUGUGAAAGCCCCGGGCUCAACCUGGGAACGGCAUCCGGAACUGUCGAGCUAGAGUGCAGGAGAGGAAGGUAGAGUUGGCGGUGGAGCGGUGAGAGGCGGAGAGGUCGGGAGGAAGAGCAGUGGCGAAGGCGGCCUUGUGGACGGAGGGUGACGCUGGGGUGCGGAAGGGUGGGUAGCAAGCAGGAGUAGAGACGCCAGUAGUG